GGCGGACGUAGCCAAGUGGAUUAAGGCAGUGGAUUGUGGAUCCUCCAUUCGCGGGUUCAAUU
rnacentral:tRNA from 1 species